rnacentral:rRNA from 1 species
UACAGAGGUCCCAAGCGUUGUUCGGAUUCAUUGGGCGUAAAGGGUGCGUAGGCGGUUUGUCGCGUCUGCUGUGAAAACCUGAGGCUCAACCUCGGGCUUGCAGUGGGUACGGGCAGACUAGAGUGCGGUAGGGGUGACUGGAAUUCCUGGUGUAGCGGUGGAAUGCGCAGAUAUCAGGAGGAACACCGAUGGCGAAGGCAGGUCACUGGGCCGCAACUGACGCUGGAGGAGCGAAAGCAUGGGGAGCGAACAGG